CCUACGGGAGGCAGCAGUGGGGAAUAUUGCACAAUGGGGGAAACCCUGAUGCAGCGACGCCGCGUGAGUGAAGAAGUAUCUCGGUACGUAAAGCUCUAUCAGCAGGGAAGAAAAUGCCGGUACCUGACUAAGACGCCCCGGCUAACUACGUGCCAGCAGCCGCGGUAAUACGUAGGGGGCAAGCGUUAUCCGGAUUUAAUGGGGGUAAAGGGAGCGUAGACGGCAGCGCAAGGCUGGAGUGAAAUCCCGGGGCUUAACCCCGGAACUGCCUUGGAAACUGGGCGGCUGGAGUGCAGGAGGGGUAAGCGGAAUUCCGAGUGUAGCGGUGAAAUGCGUAGAUAUUAGGAGGAACACCGGUGGCGAAGGCGGCUUACGGGACGGUAACUGACGUUGAGGCACGAAAGCGUGGGGAGCGAACAGGAUUAGAUACCCGAGUAGUC
rnacentral:rRNA from 1 species